rnacentral:rRNA from 1 species
GAUACCCUGGUAGUCCACGCAGUAAACGAUGAUAACUCGCUGUCGGCGAUACACGGUCGGCGGCUAAGCGAAAGCGAUAAGUUAUCCACCUGGGGAGUACGUUCGCAAGAAUGAAACUCAAAGGAAUUGACGGGGGCCCGCACAAGCGGUGGAGCAUGUGGUUUAAUUCGAUGCAACGCGAAGAACCUUACCUACUCUUGACAUCCUGCGAAUUUGGUAGAGAUACCUUAGUGCCUUCGGGAGCGCAGAGACAGGUGCUGCAUGGCUGUCGUCAGCUCGUGUUGUGAAAUGUUGGGUUAAGUCCCGUAACGAGCGCAACCCUUGUCCUUAUUUGCCAGCGCGUAAUGGCGGGAACUCUAAGGAGACUGCCGGUGACAAACCGGAGGAAGGUGGGGACGACGUCAAGUCAUCAUGGCCCUUACGAGUAGGGCUACACACGUGCUACAAUGGUCGGUACAAAGGGUUGCCAACUCGCGAGAGUGAGCCAAUCCCGAAAAGCCGAUCUCAGUCCGGAUCGGAGUCUGCAACUCGACUCCGUGAAGUCGGAAUCGCUAGUAAUCGUGGAUCAGAAUGCCACGGUGAAUACGUUCCCGGGCCUUGUACACACCGCCCGUCACACCAUGGGAGUGGACUGCACCAGAAGUGGUUAGCCUAACGCAAGAGGGCGAUCACCACGGUGUGGUUCAUGACUGGGGUGAAGUCGUAACAAGGUAGCCGUAGGGGAACCUGCGGCUGGAUCACCUCCUUAAAC